rnacentral:rRNA from 1 species
AGAGGGUUCGAUUAUGGCUCAGAUUGAACGCUGGCGGGAUGCUUUACAUGCAAGUCGAACGGCAGCACGGACUUCGGUCUGCGGGCGAGUGGCGAACGGGUGAGUAAUGUAUCGGAACGUGCCUAGUAGCGGGGGAUAACUACGCGAAAGCGUAGCUAAUACUGCACACGCCCUUCGGGGGAAAGCGGGGACCUUCGGGCCUCGCACUAUUAGAGCGGCCGAUAUCGGAUUAGCUAGUUGGUGGGUAACGGGUCACCAAGGCGAUGAUCCGUAGCUGGUUUGAGAGGACGACCAGCCACACCGACUGACACGCCCAGACUCCUACGGGAGGCAGCAGUGGGGAAUUUUGGAUAAUGGGGGGAAACCCUGAUCCAGCCAUCCCGCGUGUGCGAUGAAGGCCUUCGGGUUGUAAAGCACUUUUGGCAGGAAGAAACGGCACGGGAUAAUACCCCGCGCAACUGACGGUACCUGCAGAAUACAAUUUGCCAACUACGUGCCAGCAGCCGCGGUAAUACGUAGGUGCAAGCGUUAACGGAAUUACUGGGCGUAAAGCGUGCGCAGGCGGUUCGGAAAGAAAGAUGUGAAAUCCCAGAGCUUACUUGGGAACUGCAUUUUUAACUACCGAGCUAGAGUGUGUCGGGGAGGGAGGUGGAAUUCGCGUGUGUAGCAGUGAAAUGCGUAGAGGAACACCGAUGGCGAAGGCAGCCUCCUGGGAGCAACACUGACGCUCAUGCACGAAAGCGUGGGGAGUAAACAGGGAUUAGAUACCCUGGUAGUCCACGCCCUAAACGAUGUCAACUAGCUGUUGGGGCCUUCGGGCCUUGGUAGCGCAGCUAACGCGUGAAGUUGACCGCCUGGGGAGUACGGUCGCAAGAUUAAAACCUGGAAGGAAUUGACGGGGACCUGCACAAGCGGUGGAUUACGCGGAUUAAUUCGAUGCAACGCGAAAACUCCACUACCCUCGAUAUGUCUGGAAUCCCGAAGAGAUUUGGGAGUGCUCGCAAGAGAACCGGAACACAGGUGCUGCAUGGCUGUCGUCAGCUCGUGUCGUGAGAUGUUGGGUUAAGUCCCGCAACGAAGCGCAACCCUUGUCAUUAGUUGCUGCUUGUGCAGCACUCUAAUGAGACCGCCGUGAUAACCGGAGGAAGGUGGGGAUGACGUCAAGUCCUCAUGGCCCUUAUGGGUAGGGCUUCACACGUCAUACAAUGGUCGGGACAGAGGGUCGCCAACCCGCGAGGGACAAUCCAGAAACCCGAUCGUAGUCCGGAUCGCAGUCUGCAACUCGGGACUGCGGCAGCUGGAAUUGCCAGUGGAUCGCGGAUCAGCAUGUCGCGGUGAAUACGUUCCCGGGUCUUGUACACACCGCCCGUCACACCAUGGGAGUGGGUUUUACCAGAAGUAGUUAGCCUAACCGUAAGGAGGGCGAUUACCACGGUAGGAUUCAUGACUGGGGUGAAGUCGUAACAAGGUAG